GAAGUUAAAGGCUGUGGCUUAACCAUAGUACGCUUUGGAAACUGUUUAACUUGAGUNCAAGAGGGGAGAGUGGAAUUCCAUGUGUAGCGGUGAAAUGCGUAGAUAUAUGGAGGANCACCGGUGGCGAAAGCGGCUCUCUGGCUUGUAACUGACGCUGAGGCUNGAAAGCGUGGGGAGCAAACAGGAUUAGAUACCCUAGUAGUCCACGCCGUAAACGAUGAGUGCUAGGUGUUAGACCCUUUCCGGGGUUUAGUGCCGCAGCUAACGCAUUAAGCACUCCGCCUGGGGAGUACGACCGCAAGGUUGAAACUCAAAGGAAUUGACGGGGGCCCGCACAAGCGGUGGAGCAUGUGGUUUAAUUCGAAGCAACGCGAAGAACCUUACCAGGUCUUGACAUCCCUCUGACCGCUCUAGAGAUAGAGUUUUCCUUCGGGACAGAGGUGACAGGUGGUGCAUGGUUGUCGUCAGCUCGUGUCGUGAGAUGUUGGGUUAAGUCCCGCAGCGAGCGCAACCCCUAUUGUUAGUUGCCAUCAUUCAGUUGGGCACUCUAGCGAGACUGCCGGUAAUAAACCGGAGGAAGGUGGGGAUGACGUCAAAUCAUCAUGCCCCUUAUGACCUGGGCUACACACGUGCUACAAUGGCUGGUACAACGAGUCGCAAGCCGGUGACGGCAAGCUAAUCUCUUAAAGCCAGUCUCAGUUCGGAUUGUAGGCUGCAACUCGCCUACAUGAAGUCGGAAUCGCUAGUAAUCGCGGAUCAGCACGCCGCGGUGAAUACGUUCCCGGGCCUUGUACACACCGCCCGUCACACCACGAGAGUUUGUAACACCCGAAGUCGGUGAGGUAACCGUAAGGAGCCAGCCGCCUAAG
rnacentral:rRNA from 1 species